rnacentral:rRNA from 1 species
CCCUUAGAUGUUCUGGGCUGCACGCGCGCUACACUGAAGCUAUCAACACGUUUUCCCUCCCUGAGAAGGGCGGGUAACCUUUUGAAUCAGCUUCGUGGUAGGGAUCGGGGCUUGCAAUUGUUCCCCGUGAACCAAGAAUUCCUAGUAGACGCGAGUCAUAAGCUCGCAUCGAUUAAGUCCCUGCCCUUUGUACACACCGCCCGUCGCUACUACCGAUUGAACGUUUUAGUGAGGCAUUUGGACCGACGCAUCUCAGUUUAACCGCUGGUUUGUGUUGGAAAGACUUCCAAACUUGAGCGUUUAGAGGAAGUAAAAGUCGUAACA